UAGCCUGCUCACUGAUAAAUUAUUAAAUAGCCGCGGUAUCUUGACCGUGCAAAGGUAGCAUAAUCAUUAGCUUCUUAAUUGGAAGCUUGUUGAAUGGUUGGACAAAGGAAAAGCUGUCUCUUUUAUUAAAAUUGAAUUUAACUUCUAAGUGAAAAGGCUUAGAUACUUUAGAGGGACGAUAAGACCCUAUAAAGCUUUAUAAAUUUAAAGAUUUUACAUAUUUUAUCUAUAAUGGUAAUCUCUGGAGAAUUUAUUGGGUUGGGGCAACAAAAGUAUAAUUAUCAAUAAUGCUAUAAAAUAAUACAAUUAUCUUUGUGUGGGUAAAUUAGUUGAUCCCUGAAAAGGAUUAAAAGAUCAAGUUACUUUAGGGAUAACAGCGUAAUUUAUCCUGAGAGUUCUUAUCAAAGGAAAAGUUUGCGACCUCGAUGUUGAAUUAAAAUGUCUUUGUAGUGCAGCAGCUACACAAGAAGGUCUGUUCGACCUUUAAUUUUUUACGUGAUCUGAGUUCAAACC
rnacentral:rRNA from 1 species